rnacentral:rRNA from 1 species
GGAUUAGAUACCCUGGUAGUCCACACCGUAAACGAUGAAUGCUAGUUGUCUGCAUGCAUGCAUGUAGGUGACGCAGCUAACGCAUUAAGCAUUCCGCCUGGGGAGUACGGCCGCAAGGUUAAAACUCAAAGAAAUUGACGGGGGCCCGCACAAGCGGUGGAGCAUGUGGUUUAAUUCGAAGCAACGCGCAGAACCUUACCCACGUUUGACAUGCCCUGUUUGAUCGAUGGAGACAUCUCUCUUGGUUCGUCCGCAGGUGCACAGGUGCUGCAUGGCUGUCGUCAGCUCGUGCCG